CCUACGGGUGGCAGCAGUGAGGAAUAUUGCUCAAUGGGCGCGAGCCUGAACCAGCCAAGUAGCGUGAAGGAUGACUGCCCUACGAGUUGUAACCUUCGUUUAUAGAGGAAUAAAGUGCGGCACGUGUGCCUUUUUGUAUUUACUUUAUGAAUAAAGGUCGGCUAACUCCUUUCCCGCAGCCGCGGUACUACGGAGGAUCCGAGCGUUGUCCGGAUUUAUUGGGUGUAAAGGGGUCGUAUAUGGGUUGUUAAGUCAGUUGUGAAAGUGCGUGGCUAAACCGGACACUUGCAAUUGAGACUGGCAGGCUGGAGUACAGGUGAGGGAGGCGGAAUUCGUGGUGUAGCGGUGAAAUGCUUAGAUAUCACGAAGAACUCCGAUUGCGAAGGCAGCUUACUAAAACGUAACUGACACUGAGGCGCGAAAGCGUGGGUAGCAAACAGGAUUAGAUACCCUAGUAGUC
rnacentral:rRNA from 1 species